GUAGGUGGCAAGCGUUGUCCGGAAUUAUUGGGCGUAAAGCGCGCGCAGGCGGGUUCUUUAAGUCUGAUGUGAAAGCCCACGGGCUCAACCGUGGAGGGUCAUUGGAAACUGGAGAACUUGAGUACAGAAGAGGAAAGCGGAAUUCCACGUGUAGCGGUGAAAUGCGUAGAGAUGUGGAGGAACACCAGUGGCGAAGGCGGCUUUCUGGUCUGUAACUGACGCUGAGGCGCGAAAGCGUGGGGAGCAAACAGGACUAGAUACCCUGGUAGUCCACGCCGUAAACGAUGAGUGCUAAGUGUUAGGGGGUUUCCGCCCCUUAGUGCUGCAGCUAACGCAUUAAGCACUCCGCCUGGGGAGUACGGCCGCAAGGCUG
rnacentral:rRNA from 1 species